UUUCGUAUCGACGAGGAUUCUUGGCAUAUCCCAGUAUAGGUGGCUACCUAUGAUGGUGUCAGCCAGCACAGCUCGAUUCAGAGUCCUAGCGGACAUUCCGGGUCAGAGUAUGUCAUGGCAAGAGCAAGCUAUUUUACUCUUAUAUGCUAUAUAUAGUUAGGAUUUAAUAAAAUUUACUUUCUUCAAGUAGUUGGUUUGGAAAGUUGUAGUGUGAAAUUAUUGAGUUGUUUUGUGGAUCGACUGACAAUUUCCAAGCACCAUGAUGUUAGCAUCAUGUUGGACGAUAGGUUGCCAUUGCUCUCCUUUAACUUCGCUAUCGACUACUUAUAAUACUACUAUAUAAAGACAUGGUCAUCGUGUUGGGUGAUUAAAUGUAAAUCAAACUUAGAUGAUCUUACAAUUGCAACAGAACAUAUGACAUUAAAAGUUUAAUUC